UACGUAGGGUGCGAGCGUUAAUCGGAAUUACUGGGCGUAAAGCGUGCGCAGGCGGUUAUGUAAGACAGGUGUGAAAUCCCCGGGCUUAACCUGGGAACUGCAUUUGUGACUGCAUAGCUAGAGUACGGUAGAGGGGGAUGGAAUUCCGCGUGUAGCAGUGAAAUGCGUAGAUAUCUGGAGGAACACCGGUGGCGAAGGCGGCAUCCUGGACCGGCAUUGACGCUGAGGCGCGAAAGCCAGGGGAGCAAACGGGG
rnacentral:rRNA from 1 species